GUUUAAAACAUAUGUUAUUUCUAAUCAGCGCAUAUACUAACGGCCCACUCCACCCAGGUCUAUACAUUUCUAUCGGACACCCUCCUAGCUGCUACCCCUGAGGUUGUAGGAAAUCAAAAGGAAAUACUGGCAGAAGGAAUAUGUCGAGACACCCCCCUGUGGUUUUUGGGUCUCUAAACAUUCUGGGGAUACUAUAUGACCAUUUUUGCAUACACGAUGUCGCCCGAAAAACGUCACCCCCACUCUGUAAGCUCAUUACGGAAUAUCUCUCCUUAGAGCCACGACCACGGAGCGAGGCUAGUGACAACAGAUAAUAUCAAACUCUGUACGAACCGCAAAAGCGCAACUCCAGACAAGGCCAACAGCCCCGAAGAGUUAGCAGCCCAGAACAGCUAAAAUAUCAACUGUGAAUCUGACCUAAUGGAGCUUUCUGAAGCUGACAGACCGCAAAGAAGGAUCCCGGCUGCAAUAUGGACUCUGAACAGCGGAGACGCUGAAAUGGAUGCUAUUCUCCCAUUCUGUACGAACUUUUUUUCAAACAAACCGAGAACUGAGGGUAUAACCGUCACAUCAACUCCCCCGGGAACCCCCGGGAACCUCCACCCACUCGCUCCAUAUUCCAGACCCAAACAAGCAACGCACAACUCAGGCGCAAGUGCAUUGCGCAGAAUCACCCCAGCCCGAAAAGUGUUACUGGGCCGGAAACUUAUUGCUUCAAGAAACGGCGCUACAGGGACACGACGCCCGGCAGAAUCUGGAAUGCUUGGUGAAAAAGUCUAGAGCCCAAGGUUUCCUCGAUCCGUCAGAAUAACCCUCAUCAAAAAAGCUGAGACUCCUCCCCAGCAUAUAACGGCACAGAAGACCCUACACAACGAGAGCACUCGGAGGAUUUCGGCGCACAGGACAUCCCCAAUAAAACACCGAAACCGGAUGAUUUCAAAGUUUUAAAUGACAUUUCAGAGGUUGACGACUUGAUGUUAUGUGAAGCAGCCAACCUUCUUGAUUCAUCCAAUUAUUUUGUAGAAACACCCGAACCUGAAAUAAAACAAGCUACGUUUCUCACUGUA